rnacentral:rRNA from 1 species
GGAUGCGAUCAUACCAGCACUAAAGCACCGGUUCCCAUUAGAACUUCGAAGUUUGAGCGUGCUUGGGCGAGAGUAGUACUAGGAUGGAUGACUUCCUGGGAUGUCCUCGUGUUGCAUCCC